rnacentral:rRNA from 1 species
GAUGAACGCUGGCGGCGUGCUUAACACAUGCAAGUCGAACGGAAAGGCCCUGCUCUUGUGGGGUUCUCGAGUGGCGAACGGGUGAGUAAAACAUGUGUAACCUGUCCUUGUCUUUGUGAUAACAUCUGGAAACUGGGGCUAAUACAGGGGAGGAGCUCUUGAUGCGUGGGGGGGAUUGGAAAGUUUCGGCGGUUGGGGAUGGUUUGGAGGGUUAUGCGCUGGUUGGGGGGGUAGUGGCUGUCAAGGCUUUCGACGGGUAGGCUGCCUGAGAGGGUGGACAGCGACAAUGGGACUGAGAGACGGCGCAGACGCGUACGGGCGGCAGCAGUGGGGAAUAUUGCGCAACGGGGGGAAGCGUGAUGCAGCGACGCCGCGUGCGGGAAGACGGGUUUCGGGUUGUGAACCGCUGUGGCAGGUGACGUAGCGUGAUUGACGGUAAUGGGUAAAGAAGCACCGGCUAACUACGUG